AUUGAACGCUGGCGGCAGGCCUAACACAUGCAAGUCGAGCGAGCGGCGGACGGGUGAGUAAUGUCUGUGAAACUGCCUGAUGGAGGGGGAUAACUCCUGGAAACGGUAGCUAAUACCGCAUACCAUCAGAUGUGCCCAGAUGGGAUUAGCUAGUAGGUGGGGUAACGGCUCACCUAGGCGACGCUCCCUAGCUGGUCUGAGAGGAUGACCAGCCAAACUGGAACUGAGACACGGUCCAGACUCCUACGGGAGGCAGCAGUGGGGAAUAUGGCACAAGGGGCGCAAGCCUGAGGCAGCCAUGCCGGGUGUGUGAAGAAGGCCUUCGGGUUGUAAAGUACUUUCAGCGGGGAGGCGUUACCCGCAGAAGAAGCACCGGCUAACCCCGUGCCAGCAGCCGCGGUAAUC
rnacentral:rRNA from 1 species